GACGAACGCUGGCGGCGUGCUUAACACAUGCAAGUCGAACGGAAAGGCCCUGCUUUUUUGGGGUGCUCGAGUGGCGAACGGGUGAGUAACACGUGAGUAACCUGCCCUUGACUUUGGUAUAACUUCAGGAAACUGGGGCUAAUACCGGAUAGGAGCUCCUGCGGCAUGGUGGGGGUUGGAAAGUUUCGGCGGGUGGGGAUGGACUCGCGGCUUAUCAGCUUGGUGGUGGGGUAGUGGCUUACCAAGGCUUUGACGGGUAGCCGGCCUGAGAGGGUGACCGGCCACAUUGGGACUGAGAUACGGCCCAGACGCCUACGGGAGGCAGCAGUGGGGAAUAUUGCACAAUGGGCGGAAGCCUGAUGCAGCAACGCCGCGUGCGGGAUGACGGCCUUCGGGUUGUAAACCGCUUUCGCCUGUGACGAAGCGUGAGUGACGGUAAUGGGUAAAGAAGCAGCGGCUAACUACGUG
rnacentral:rRNA from 1 species